CUUUUCACCGUUGCCGUUUUUAUACUAUGACGCAAAAUCCAUGGACGCUCGUCUGCUGCUGAAUUCAUGUUUUACUGUUUAAAAAGAAUGGACAAAGAUAGUCAGAUAGUUGAUUCAAAGACCUUUGAUUUUUCAAACUGAUGGAUCAAAAAGUUAUUAUAAACAGAUAUAUUGAAAUGGCCGACUCAAAAUCAUGCUGUUAAUUAGGGCCCCCUUUGUACAUGUACUUAGGAAUCGGACACCUCCAGAAGAUGAAAGAUCUACUUUACAUCUGUACAUUGUAUUACAACAAAUGGACAGAGGAGUUGACUAUUGAUAGUGACUGAUAAUGGACUGGAGUAACCUAGGGUCCAAUGACUCCAUGCCUGACAGUCCAUGUGUACAUAAUUAGCUCCUCAGAUGUAAGUGGAAGGGAAGCUAUAUACAUUAUAUGUUUAAAUGAAAUUAACAACAGGAUUAGAUAUUGAGGAAAUCCUAUAGCUACAGUAUAUAUAAAUGUAACUGCAACUGUAUUCCAAGAGUCUGAUGGCUGAUAAUGUAUUACAGGAUUUUAUCAUUCAAGCAACAUCUUAGAAGGAUCAGUGCAAAUGUU